AUUGAACGCUGGCGGCAUGCUUUACACAUGCAAGUCGAACGGCAGCGCGGGCUUCGGCCUGGCGGCGAGUGGCGAACGGGUGAGUAAUACAUCGGAACGUGCCCAGUAGUGGGGGAUAGCUCGGCGAAAGCCGGAUUAAUACCGCAUACGACCUGAGGGUGAAAGCGGGGGAUCUUCGGACCUCGCGCUCUUGGAGCGGCCGAUGGCAGAUUAGCUAGUUGGUGGGGUAAAGGCCUACCAAGGCGACGAUCUGUAGCUGGUCUGAGAGGACGACCAGCCACACUGGGACUGAGACACGGCCCAGGCUCCUACGGGAGGCAGCAGUGGGGAAUUUUGGACAAUGGGCGAAAGCCUGAUCCAGCAAUGCCGCGUGUGUGAUGAAGGCCUUCGGGUUGUAAAGCACUUUUGGCGGGAACGAAAAGGACUGUGCCAAUACCACGGUUCGAUGACGGUACCCGCAGAAUAAGCACCGGCUAACUACGUG
rnacentral:rRNA from 1 species